GUAGGUCCGUGGUGGUCCGACGCGGGUCAAAGUGUGGUGUCUGUCCUUAUCAGCUUAAUAUCUCAUACAGGUUUUAUUUGGACCUAAGAUAUUAAACUUAUUUCUGCAAGUUGGUGGAGUCCUUAACGCCUUCUUCACUUCCGUCGUGGGUCGGCCUGGUAUUACAGUAUUUUCUUCUUUGUCCCACUGGGG